rnacentral:rRNA from 1 species
GAUGUGGACUCUUGUAACGGACCUGCGGAGGGAUCAUUACACAAAUAUGAAGGCGGGCUGGAACCUCUCGGGGUUACAGCCUUGCUGAAUUAUUCACCCUUGUCUUUUGCGUACUUCUUGUUUCCUUGGUGGGUUCGCCCACCACUAGGACAAACAUAAACCUUUUGUAAUUGCAAUCAGCGUCAGUAACAAAUUAAUAAUUACAACUUUCAACAACGGAUCUCUUGGUUCUGGCAUCGAUGAAGAACGCAGCGAAAUGCGAUAAGUAGUGUGAAUUGCAGAAUUCAGUGAAUCAUCGAAUCUUUGAACGCACAUUGCGCCCUUUGGUAUUCCAAAGGGCAUGCCUGUUCGAGCGUCAUUUGUACCCUCAAGCUUUGCUUGGUGUUGGGCGUCUUGUCUCUAGCUUUGCUGGAGACUCGCCUUAAAGUAAUUGGCAGCCGGCCUACUGGUUUCGGAGCGCAGCACAAGUCGCACUCUCUAUCAGCAAAGGUCUAGCAUCCAUUAAGCCUUUUUUUCAACUUUUGACCUCGGAUCAGGUAGGGAUACCCGCUGAACU